AGCUGGUUGAACCUGCCAGUAGCAUAAGACAUGCAUGUGUAAGUACACAUGGCCGGUACAGUGAAACUACAAAUGGCUCAUUAAGACAGUUAUGGUCCUUGAUCGCGCCAUCUAUUACUUGGAAAACUGUGGUAAUACUAGAGCUAUUACAUGCCCACAAGCACUGACCUCCUGGUAUGCAUGCAUUUAUCUUGCCCUGCCGAUUUGAUGACUCUAGGUGACCUUGGGCCGAUUGCACGUCCCUGUGACAGCGACAAUACAUUCAGAUGUUUUGCCUAACAACUUUCGGUUGUACUUUCCGUGCCUACCAUUAUGACCAGGGGUAACAGGGACUCAGGGUUCGAUUCCAGAGAGGGAGCCUGAGAAAUGGCUACCGCAUCUAAGGAAGGCAGCAGGCGUGCAAAUUUCCCACUCCUGACUCGGAGAGGUAGUGACGAAAAAUAGUAAUACAUGAUCUUUCAAAGGCCUGUAAUUGGAAUGAGUACACUUUAAAUCCUUUAACGAGGACCUAUUGGAGGGCAAGUCUGGUGCAAUCAGCCAUGAUAAUUCCAGCUCCAAUAGCGUAUAUUGAAGCUGCUGCAGUUCCAAAUAUCAUAGUUGGAUCUUGGGAUCGAGCUGGUGGUCCACCAUGAGGUGAGCUACUGCAUGUCCCAACCACAGUCUCUCUGCAGCCCGAGUCAUGGGGGUCCGAAGCGUUUACUUUGAAAAAACGACAGUGUUCAAAGCAGACCGGUCUCCUGAAUACUUCAGCUAGGAAUAAUGGAAUAGGACUCCUGUGCUAUUUUGUUGGUUUUCGGAACUGGUGCCAUGAUUAAAAGGGAAAACCGGAGGCAUUCAAACUGUGACGUUCAAGGUGACAUUCUUGGACCGACACAAGACGAACCAAAGCAAAAGCAUUUGCCAAGAAUGUUUUCAUUAAUCAAGAGUGAAAGUGGGAGGUACAAAGACAAUCAGAUACCAUUUCAGUAGACCAUAAACGAUGCUGACUAGCUAUCCGGCAGCGUUAUUCCAUGACCGCCUGAGCAGCUUCCAGGAAACCAAAUUCUUUGGGUUCCGGGGGAGUAUGUUUUCAAAGCUGAAACUUAAAGGAAUUGACAAGCCGACACCAUCAGGAGUGGAGCCUGCGGCUUAAUUUGACUCAACACGGGAAACCUCACCCGGCCCGGACACGGAAAGGAUUGACAGAUUGAUAGCUCUUUCUCGAUUCUGUGGGUGGUGUGCAUGGACUGUUCUUAUUUGGUAGAGCAAUUUAUCUGGUUAAUUCUGAUAACGAACGAGACUCACUUAUGCUAACUAGUUACGCCACCCCCAGCGGUCGUGCAUUCAACUUCUUAGAGGACAAGUGGUGUCAGCCACACGAGAUCGAGCAAUAACAGUGUCUGUGAUGCCCUAGAUGUCCGGGGCUGCACGCUGCACUACACUGAAUGGAUCAGCUUGUGUCUCCCCUUCGGUGAUAGGUGCUGGUAAUCCACUGCACCCUGUUGGGGUCGGCAAUGGACCUGGCGGAGCGCCGAGAAGAUGACCAAACUUGACUUUCUAGAUGAAGUAAAAGUUGUUACAAGGUUUCCGUAGGUGAACCUGUGGAAGGAUCAUUA
rnacentral:rRNA from 1 species